GGCUUAGUUGGUUAAGGCACCGGUCUAGCAAAUACGGAGUCGUGGGUUCGAAUCCCAC
rfam:Aedes albopictus isolate Foshan contig9762, whole genome shotgun sequence.